rnacentral:rRNA from 1 species
UACGUAGGGGGCAAGCGUUGUCCGGAAUCAUUGGGCGUAAAGAGCGUGUAGGCGGCCCGAUAAGUCCGCUGUGAAAGUCCAGGGCUCAACCCUGGAAUGCCGGUGGAUACUGUCGGGCUCGAAUCCGGAAGAGGUGAGUGGAAUUCCUGGUGUAGCGGUGAAAUGCGCAGAUAUCAGGAGGAACACCCGUAGCGAAGGCGGCUCACUGGCCCGAUACUGACGCUGAGGUGCGAAAGCGUGGGGAGCAAACAGG